rnacentral:tRNA from 1 species
GGGCUCGUAGCUCAGUUUGGUAGAGCGUCAGGCUCAUAACCUGAUGGUUCGCGUGUUCAAAUCGCGCCGAGCCCACCA